rnacentral:rRNA from 1 species
GAUGAACGCUGGCGGCGUGCCUAAUACAUGCAAGUCGAGCGAACGGACGAGAAGCUUGCUUCUCUGAUGUUAGCGGCGGACGGGUGAGUAACACGUGGAUAACCUACCUAUAAGACUGGGAUAACUUCGGGAAACCGGAGCUAAUACCGGAUAAUAUUUUGAACCGCAUGGUUCAAAAGUGAAAGACGGUCUUGCUGUCACUUAUAGAUGGAUCCGCGCUGCAUUAGCUAGUUGGUAAGGUAACGGCUUACCAAGGCAACGAUGCAUAGCCGACCUGAGAGGGUGAUCGGCCACACUGGAACUGAGACACGGUCCAGACUCCUACGGGAGGCAGCAGUAGGGAAUCUUCCGCAAUGGGCGAAAGCCUGACGGAGCAACGCCGCGUGAGUGAUGAAGGUCUUCGGAUCGUAAAACUCUGUUAUUAGGGAAGAACAUAUGUGUAAGUAACUGUGCACAUCUUGACGGUACCUAAUCAGAAAGCCACGGCUAACUACGUGCCAGCAGCCGCGGUAAUACGUAGGUGGCAAGCGUUAUCCCGGAUUAUUGGGCGUAAAGCGCGCGUAGGCGGUUUUUUAGUCUGAUGUGAAAGCCCACGGCUCAACCGUGGAGGGUCAUUGGAAACUGGAAAACUUGAGUGCAGAAGAGGAAAGUGGAAUUCCAUGUGUAGCGGUGAAAUGCGCAGAGAUAUGGAGGAACACCAGUGGCGAAGGCGACUUUCUGGUCUGUAACUGACGCUGAUGUGCGAAAGCGUGGGGAUCAAACAGGAUUAGAUACCCUGGUAGUCCACGCCGUAAACGAUGAGUGCUAAGUGUUAGGGGGUUUCCGCCCCUUAGUGCUGCAGCUAACGCAUUAAGCACUCCGCCUGGGGAGUACGACCGCAAGGUUGAAACUCAAAGGAAUUGACGGGGACCCGCACAAGCGGUGGAGCAUGUGGUUUAAUUCGAAGCAACGCGAAGAACCUUACCAAAUCUUGACAUCCUUUGACAACUCUAGAGAUAGAGCCUUCCCCUUCGGGGGACAAAGUGACAGGUGGUGCAUGGUUGUCGUCAGCUCGUGUCGUGAGAUGUUGGGUUAAGUCCCGCAACGAGCGCAACCCUUAAGCUUAGUUGCCAUCAUUAAGUUGGGCACUCUAAGUUGACUGCCGGUGACAAACCGGAGGAAGGUGGGGAUGACGUCAAAUCAUCAUGCCCCUUAUGAUUUGGGCUACACACGUGCUACAAUGGACAAUACAAAGGGCAGCGAAACCGCGAGGUCAAGCAAAUCCCAUAAAGUUGUUCUCAGUUCGGAUUGUAGUCUGCAACUCGACUACAUGAAGCUGGAAUCGCUAGUAAUCGUAGAUCAGCAUGCUACGGUGAAUACGUUCCCGGGUCU